rnacentral:rRNA from 1 species
GUAGGUGGCAAGCGUUGUCCGGAAUUAUUGGGCGUAAAGCGCGCGCAGGCGGUCCUUUAAGUCUGAUGUGAAAGCCCACGGCUCAACCGUGGAGGGUCAUUGGAAACUGGGGGACUUGAGUACAGAAGAGGAAAGCGGAAUUCCAAGUGUAGCGGUGAAAUGCGUAGAGAUUUGGAGGAACACCAGUGGCGAAGGCGGCUUUCUGGUCUGUAACUGACGCUGAGGCGCGAAAGCGUGGGGAGCAAACAGGGAUUAGAUACCCUGGUAGUCCACGCCGUAAACGAUGAGUGCUAAGUGUUAGGGGGUUUCCCGCCCCCUUAGUGCUGCCAGCUAACGCAUUAAGCACUCCGCCUGGGGAGUACGGCCGCAAGGCUG